CCUACGGGCGGCAGCAGUGGGGGAUAUUGCACAAUGGGGGAAACCCUGAUGCAGCGACGCCGCGUGUGGGAAGACGGUCUUCUGGAUUGUAAACCACUGUCCCCAGGGACGAAAAUGACGGUACCUGGGGAGGAAGCUCCGGCUAACUACGUGCCAGCAGCCGCGGUAAUACGUAGGGAGCAAGCGUUGUCCGGAAUUACUGGGUGUAAAGGGAGCGUAGGCGGGGAUGCAAGUUGGGUGUCAAAACUACCGGCUCAACCGAUAGUCGCACUCAAAACUGCAGCUCUUGAGUGAAGUAGAGGCAGGCGGAAUUCGUAGUGUAGCGGUGAAAUGCGUAGAUAUUAGGAGGAACGCCAGUGGCGAAGGCAGCCUGCUGGGCUUUUACUGACGCUGAGGCUCGAAAGUGUGGGGAGCAAACAGGAUUAGAUACCCGAGUAGUC
rnacentral:rRNA from 1 species